CGGGUGAGUAACGCGUGAGGAACCUGCCUCAAAGAGGGGGACAACAGUUGGAAACGACUGCUAAUGCCGCAUAAGCCCACGGCUCGGCAUCGAGCAGAGGGAAAAGGAGCAAUCCGCUUUGAGAUGGCCUCGCGUCCGAUUAGCUAGUUGGCGAGGUAACGGCCCACCAAGGCGACGAUCGGUAGCCGGACUGAGAGGUUGAACGGCCACAUUGGGACUGAGACACGGCCCAG
rnacentral:rRNA from 1 species